rnacentral:misc_RNA from 1 species
UAAGAAUAAUUUUAUAUAUUUAAUAUAAAAACCCUUACUAGUUAAAAAUACAAGGGAAGCACAAAUUCCUUAAAUUCACAAUGCUGUUAUUAAAUUCAUACUGAAAACUCAGAGGCGAAACCAUUCUCUUGUUCAUCAACUUAAUAGCUACACUUAAAUAAUCUUACUUAAUAAGGAUAAUUAUAAUAAGUUGUUUCAUAAGUGAACGCGUUCGGAGUGCCACCUUGAGACCACUUAAUGCUAGCAUACAGAGUUCCUGGCAUGUUAACGGGGAAACCAUUAUUAGUUGCCGUUGUGGGAUAAGAAAACAUAUGCGGGUUGUGAACUUGGGACGUCCAAAUGCCGUUGUUGGAGAAACCAUGAUUAGUUGCGGUUGCCCAUUGUUGAUUGGGAAAUUGCCCUGGCAUAAUGACAUUGUUGGUUUCUGGACUGAUAGCAGACUUGGACACCUUAGGUUGGAGGUUGUGGACAUGCCUUGCAAUGGUCAGCUGCAGUUGCUCCUUGUUGGCACCCACAACCUUGCCAACUAUUUUUCCUUCUUUCAAGAACAUAAAAGUUGGCAUUGCCUCAACAGCCCAAUCCUCAGCGACAGACUUCAAUUCAUCCACAUCCACCUUCAAGAAUAUAACAUUGGGCAUCUUCUUGGCCAACUCUGCCAGAAUUGGAUUGAUGAGACGACAUGGCCCACACCAGGAAGCAGUAAAAUCCACCACAAUCAGUUUCUUGCUCCCCUGUCCCUUAUCGAGCUGAUCGGUCCAAGCCUCAACGGUGUGGCAGGAAAUCACCUGUCCCUCUUCAGCCAUUUUCUCUGUUUUAGCUUCCUCUAAAUUGAGAAUCUCAAACGAAGCGAGGUAUCUAUCUUUCUCGUAUUUAACGAUCCUUAUAACAUUAAUACUUUCCUUCGAU